GUUAAAAAGCUCGUAGUUGGAUUUCUGUUGAGAACGGCCGGUCCGCAUUUUGUGCGUGUAUCUGGUUUGGUCUUGGCAUCCUUCCAAAGAACGCGACUGUGAUUCAGUUCAUGGUGCGGCGCUUUGGAACCUUUACUUUGAGGGAAUUAGAGUGUUCACGGCAGGCAAUCGUCUUGAAUAUAUUAGCAUGGAAUAAUACUAUAGGACCUUGGGUCUAUUUUGUUGGUUUCUAGAGCUAAGGUAAUGAUUAAUAGGGACAAUUGGGGGCAUUCGUAUUAACACGUCAGAGGUGGAAUUCUUAGAUUGUGUUACGACGAACUACUGCGAAAGCAUUUGCCAAGGAUGUUUUCAUUGAUCAAGAACGAAAGUGAGGGGAUCGAAGAUGAUUACGAUUCCGUCGUAGUCUUC
rnacentral:rRNA from 1 species